GAGGUUCGACGGUUGAGAUUAAAUUAAGAUUUUGACCCCUUUCUAAGACCGGUAACCCGAAAACUGAAUAGGGUCAGUCAGUUUCUCUAUCUCCUCAUUCUUUCUGGCGAAUAACAGCGCUCGAACAACACUCUUCGCACCUCAGCACCAUAUAUUUCUUCAAAUUCUACAGAAAUCAGCUUGCGGUGGCUCUCCACCUAAAACAAAAACUUCUUACUUGGCUUGUGGGGACUCUUGUUCAGGUGAAGAAAGUAAGAAGAUGUAUCAGAGCAUUUGUAAAAUUGUCUGGGAGUUUGCAGUAGACAAUUUGGAGUUGCAUCAGAGUUGCUAGAAGUCCAUAUUUGAAAUCAUGAAGCAGUACAAUUCAUGUUUCUUUAUUGUGCAAUUUUACUCUCUAGUUGGCUACUGAUGCUUAUUGAUACAUGUGUUGAUUGAACCUGAUUCUAAAGUCAUUGUCACUUUGAUUGAUUA